UAUCGUAACAACGGAGGUGCGAGGGCUGUCGCUGACCUUUCGGUGGUCGUGCACGCCCAAGCGCUUUCACACAAUCCAUCUCACCCCCUUUGUGCAUCACCGCGUGGGUCCCCUUUGCGGGAGGGCUCGCGUUUUCACAUAAAAACAUUUUGAUAGUGUAGAAUGUCCUUUUGCGGUCACACGCAAUCAAUACAACUUUCAACAACGGAUCUCUUGGCUCUCGCAUCGAUGAAGAACGUAGCGAAAUGCGAUACGUAAUGUGAAUUGCAGAAUUCAGUGAAUCAUCGAAUCUUUGAACGCACCUUGCGCCCCUUGGCAUUCCGAGGGGCACACCCGUUUGAGUGUCGUGAAAUCUUCAAAAACCCCGUUUUCUCAUAAGGAAAGGGAUUUUUGGACUUGGAGGAUCAAUGCUUGCCUUCACUUUUGAAAGUGAGCUCCUCUCAAAUAGAUUAGUGGGGUCCGCUUUGCCGAUCCUUGACGUGAUAAGAUGCUUCUACGUUUUGGAUUUAGCAUUGUCGCUCGGAUGCCUGCUCCUAACUGUCCCAUGGACAAUGAUGGUGCUCCGGUCACCGCCGUCUACAUCGGCCGGGAGGCUGGACCCACAAAACAAACCUUGACCUCAAAUCGGGUGAGACUACCCGCUGAACUUAAGCAUAUCAAUAAGCGGAGGAAAAGAAACUAACAAGGAUUCCCCUAGUAACUGCGAGUGAAGCGGGAAAAGCUCAAAUUUAAAAUCUGA
rnacentral:rRNA from 1 species